ensembl:rRNA 5S_rRNA 5S ribosomal RNA
UGGCCAUACCACUCUGAACGCACCCGAUCUUGUCUGAUCUCGGAAGCUAAGCAGGGUCGGGCUUGGUUAGUACUUGGUUGGGAGAAGUUUAUUUCUCAGCCACAUAUAUAGCUAGAUAGAAGAUCCAGGGCUG